GAAAACUUGACAGUCAAACUAACAAAGGUAUGAUAGUGGUAGUAAAAUCAAAGUUUAGACAUAUGACUGAUACGAAAAAAACUUUUUGUAGCAAAUUCUGAAUUUCGAAAAACUUUCGGGUAGUAAAGUGAAAUUUACCAUUUGGAAAAAUAUUAACAAAAUGUAUUAACUCCCCAAAACUAAUUGCUACUUCCAAAAGAUCAUAAUCAGUGACAACACUUACGACUGCAUGACUUUAAGACGGUAGUGAAUAUUACAC
rnacentral:lncRNA from 1 species